rnacentral:rRNA from 1 species
AUUGAACGCUGGCGGCAGGCUUAAUACAUGCAAGUCGUGGGGCAGCAUGAAGUAGCAAUACUUUGAUGGCGACCGGCAAACGGGUGCGGAACACGUACACAACCUUCCUUUUAGUGGGGAAUAGCCCAGAGAAAUUUGGAUUAAUACCCCGUAACAUAGCGAUGUGGCAUCACAUUGCUAUUAUAGCUUCGGCGCUAGAUGAUGGGUGUGCGUAUGAUUAGAUAGUUGGCGAGGUAACGGCUCACCAAGUCUACGAUCAUUAGCUGAUGUGAGAGCAUGAUCAGCCACACGGGCACUGAGACACGGGCCCGACUCCUACGGGAGGCAGCAGUAAGGAAUAUUGGUCAAUGGACGAAAGUCUGAACCAGCCAUGCCGCGUGAAGGAUUAAGGUCCUCUGGAUUGUAAACUUCUUUUAUAUGGGACGAAAAAAGGUCUUUCUAGAUCACUUGACGGUACCAUAUGAAUAAGCACCGGCUAACUCCGUGCCAGCCGCCGCGGUAAAAC